rnacentral:rRNA from 1 species
UGGGGAAUUUUGGACAAUGGGCGAAAGCCUGAUCCAGCAAUGCCGCGUGUGUGAAGAAGGCCUUCGGGUUGUAAAGCACUUUUGUCCGGAAAGAAAUGGCUCUGGUUAAUACCUGGGGUCGAUGACGGUACCGGAAGAAUAAGGACCGGCUAACUACGUGCCAGCAGCCGCGGUAAUACGUAGGGUCCAAGCGUUAAUCGGAAUUACUGGGCGUAAAGCGUGCGCAGGCGGUUGUGCAAGACCGAUGUGAAAUCCCCGAGCUUAACUUGGGAAUUGCAUUGGUGACUGCACGGCUAGAGUGUGUCAGAGGGGGGUAGAAUUCCACGUGUAGCAGUGAAAUGCGUAGAGAUGUGGAGGAAUACCGAUGGCGAAGGCAGCCCCCUGGGAUAACACUGACGAUCAUGCACGAAAGCGUGGGGAGCAAACAGG